UUUAAACAUGAGAGUUUGAUCCUGGCUCAGGAUGAACGCUGGCGGCGUGCCUAACACAUGCAAGUCGAACGAAGCAAUUAAAAUGAAGUUUUCGGAUGGAUUUUUGAUUGACUGAGUGGC
rnacentral:rRNA from 1 species